UACAGAGGUGGCAAGCGUUGUUCGGAAUUACUGGGCGUAAAGGGCGCGUAGGUGGCCUUCUUAGUCAGACGUGAAAUCCCCCAGGCUUAACCUGGGAACUGCGUCUGAUACUGGAAGGCUCGAGUUCGGGAGAGGAAUGUGGAAUUCCAGGUGUAGCGGUGAAAUGCGUAGAUAUCUGGAGGAACACCGGUGGCGAAGGCGGCAUUCUGGACCGAAACUGACGCUGAGGCGCGAAAGCCAGGGGAGCAAACGGG
rnacentral:rRNA from 1 species